rnacentral:tRNA from 1 species
AGGAUUUUAGUUUAUUUAUUAAAAUUUAAGUUUAGCAUUCUUAAGAAUUAGAAUUCUU